rnacentral:rRNA from 1 species
GUCAUAUGCUUGUCUCAAAGAUUAAGCCAUGCAUGUCUAAGUAUAAGCAAUUAUACCGCGAAACUGCGAAUGGCUCAUUAUAUAAGUUAUCGUUUAUUUGAUAGUACCUUACUACUUGGAUAACCGUGGUAAUUCUAGAGCUAAUACAUGCUAAAAAUCCCCACUUCGGAAGGGAUGUAUUAUAGAUUAAAAACCAAUGCCCUUCGGGGCUCACUGGUGAUUCAUGAUAACUUCUCGAAUCGCAUGGCCUUGUGCCGGCGAUGGUUCAUUCAAAUUUCUUCCCUAUCAACUUUCGAUGUUUGGGUAUUGGCCAAACAUGGUUGCAACGGGUAACGGAGGGUUAGGGCUCGACCCCGGAGAAGGAGCCUGAGAAACGGCUACUACAUCCAAGGAAGGCAGCAGGCGCGCAAAUUACCCAAUCCCGACACGGGGAGUAGUGACAAUAAAUACUGAUACAGGGCUCUUUUGGGUCUUGUAAUUGGAAUGAGUACAAUUUAAAUCCCUUAAGGAGGAACAAUACGUUAUUCAGCUCCAUAGCGUAUAUUAAAGUUGUUGUGGUUAAAAAGCUCGUACUUGAACCUUGGGCCUGGCUGGCCGGUCCGCCUCACCGCGUGUACUGGUCCGGCCGGGCCUUUCCCUCUGUGGAACCCCAUGCCCUUCACUGGGCGUGGCGGGGAAACAGGACUUUUACUGUGAAAAAAUUAGAGUGCUCCAGGCAGGCCUAUGCUCGAAUACAUUAGCAUGGAAUAAUAGAAUAGGACGUGUGGUUCUAUUUUGUUGGUUUCUAGGACCGCCGUAAUGAUUAAUAGGGACAGUCGGGGGCAUCAGUAUUCAAUUGUCAGAGGUGAAAUUCUUGGAUUUAUUGAAGACUAACUACUGCGAAAGCAUUUGCCAAGGAUGUUUUCAUUAAUCAGGAACGAAAGUUAGGGGAUCGAAGACGAUCAGAUACCGUCGUAGUCUUAACCAUAAACUAUGCCGACUAGGGAUCGGACGGUGUUAUUUUUUGACCCGUUCGGCACCUUACGAGAAAUCAAAG